CGCCUGGGGAGUACGGCCGCAAGGUUGAAACUCAAAGAAAUUGACGGGGACCCGCACAAGCGGUGGAGCAUGUGGUUUAAUUCGAAGCAACGCGAAGAACCUUACCAAAUCUUGACAUCCUCUGACCCCUCUAGAGAUAGAGUUUUCCCUUCGGGGACAGAGUGACAGUGGUGCAUGGUGUCGUCAGCUCGUGUCGUGAGAUGUGGGUAGUCCGCACGAGCGCACCCUAGCUAGUGCAUCAUAUGGCA
rnacentral:rRNA from 1 species